rnacentral:rRNA from 1 species
AGAUUGAACGCUGGCGGCAUGCUUUACACAUGCAAGUCGAACGGCAGCACGGGGGCAACCCUGGUGGCGAGUGGCGAACGGGUGAGUAAUGCAUCGGAACGUAUCUUCAAGUGGGGGAUAACGCAUCGAAAGAUGCGCUAAUACCGCAUAAUCUCUGAGGAGAAAAGCAGGGGAUCGCAAGACCUUGCGCUUUUGGAGCGGCCGAUGUCUGAUUAGCUAGUUGGUGAGGUAAAGGCUUACCAAGGCUUCGAUCAGUAGCUGGUCUGAGAGGACGACGACCGCCAACUACGGU